UGUUCUUAUCAGUUUAAUAUCUGAUACGUCCUCGAUGAGAGGACUUUAUAUUAAACGGAUUUUUGGGCUUGGGAGUUGGACCCGGAGCUUGCUCCCUCCGCUCCGCGCAUCGUCCCGGUAUUGCAGUGCCUCCGGGCACGGUGCACCCCCC
rnacentral:snRNA from 1 species